UACGUAGGGUGCGAGCGUUGUCCGGAAUUAUUGGGCGUAAAGGGCUCGUAGGCGGUUUGUCGCGUCGGGAGUGAAAACCAGGUGCUUAACACCUGGCUUGCUUUCGAUACGGGCAGACUAGAGGUAUUCAGGGGAGAACGGAAUUCCUGGUGUAGCGGUGAAAUGCGCAGAUAUCAGGGGGAACACCGGUGGCGAAGGCGGUUCUCUGGGAAUGACCUGACGCUGAGGAGCGAAAGUGUGGGGAGCGAACAGG
rnacentral:rRNA from 1 species